UACAGAGGGUGCAAGCGUUGUCCGGAAUUACUGGGCGUAAAGGGCGCGUAGGCGGCCUGAUAAGUAGGGGGUGAAAUUCUGCGGCUUAACCGCAGGACUGCCUUCUAAACUGUCAGGCUUGAGCACGGUAGAGGCUGGUGGAAUUCCCGGUGUAGCGGUGGAAUGCGUAGAGAUCGGGAAGAACAUCGGUGGCGAAGGCGGCCAGCUGGGCCGUUGCUGACGCUGAUGCGCGACAGCGUGGGGAGCAAAC
rnacentral:rRNA from 1 species